rnacentral:lncRNA from 1 species
UAAAAAGGGAGGGAGGAGGAACCACGGACUACACAGUCAAUUCAGAAAUUUGAAUUUUCAUCCAUACCUCCGUUAUUCUUACUCUACUCGCUCAACAACAGGUUCUGAUAAUGUUACUUCUGCCAUUUCUGUUUGUCUUUAUUUCCAGUUCCACAACCCUGCUUAGGCUAUUGUCAUUCGUGGAACAAAUAUUUAUUGGACAGAUUCCCAUGUGCAAGGCUCUGUUUUAGGUAUUAAGAGUCUUGCUCUCUUGAUCCUUACAUUCUUAUGAAAAUAAUUUUGAUUCUUGUCAGAUUUUUAACCAGCUGUCUUUCUUGUUUUAGAUGAAAACUACUCCAAUCAACUUCUUCAAUCUGUUC